rnacentral:lncRNA from 1 species
GAUGACAUAGCUCGAGCUUUUGUUGGCUUUGAGUAUGAAGACUCUCGAGGUCGGAGAUUCAUGUGCUCAGGGCCUGACAAAGUAAUGAAAGUGAUGGGAAGUGGACCGAAGGAGUCGGCUUUAAAAGCCCUCAACAGCGACAUGCCCCUGUACAUCCUGUCCUCGUCGCAGGGCAGAGGGCUGAAGCCACACUAUGCUCAACUUAUGAGGCUUUUUGUUGUAGUUCCUGACGCUCCUUUGCAGAUAAUACUGAUGCCUCAGGUAGGGGAUGCAACCCUUCUCUUACAGGACAACAACAACAAAAAAAAACCAGUGUUUUGCUGUUUAUCUUGGGGGUUUUUUUGGUGGUCUUUAAGGGACAAAUCAGGGAAGCCCAUGUUGACUUGGAACUGAACAUAUAGUUUGAUAUCUCUACCUUCCAAGUACUGGAAUUAUGUGUGUGUACCCUCUUCCUUAUCAACUGUAUCCCAAGCCCAUGAUAAUUAUUGUAAUUUGCAUGUUUGUUUAUGACAGUCUCUUGUGCUCCAGGCUAGCCUUGAACUCUGACCUUCCUGCCUACCUCCUUGGUGCUAGGAUGGCCAGGAUACACACCUACAUCUAGUUUAGGUAGUGCUAGGGAUUGAACCCAGGUUUCCUGUUUCCUUGAUAAGCACUGUACCAACUGAACUCCAUCUCCCACCCUUUGAUUUUAUUACUUUCUUUGGGGUUUUUUGUU